UACGGAGGGGACUAGCGUUGUUCGGAAUUACUGGGCGUAAAGCGCGCGUAGGCGGAUUUGCAAGUCGGGGGUGAAAGCCCGAGGCUCAACCUCGGAACUGCCCUCGAUACUGCAAAUCUCGAGUCCGAGAGAGGUGAGUGGAAUUCCUAGUGUAGAGGUGAAAUUCGUAGAUAUUAGGAAGAACACCAGUGGCGAAGGCGGCUCUCUGGACCAGCACUGACACUGAGGCACGAAAGCGUGGGGAGCAAACAGG
rnacentral:rRNA from 1 species